rnacentral:rRNA from 1 species
GACGAACGCUGGCGGCGUGCUUAACACAUGCAAGUCGAACGGGAGUAUUGAAGAAGCUUGCUUUAGAGAUACUUUAGUGGCGGACGGGUGAGUAACGCGUGAGGAGCUGUCCUAUGCAGGGGGACAACAGCUGGAAACGGCUGCUAAUACCCCAUAAGCCGAGAGGUAAAAGGAUCAAUCCGGCAGAGGAGGUACUCGCGUCCUAUCAGCUAGUAGGUGAGGUAACGGCUCACCUAGGCGAAGACGGGUAGCCGGCCUGAGAGGGCGAACGGCCACACUGGAACUGAGAUACGGUCCAGACUCCUACGGGAGGCAGCAGUGGGGAAUAUUGGGCAAUGGGGGAAACCCUGACCCAGCGACGCCGCGUGGGUGAAGAAAUCCUUCGGGAUGUAAAGCCCUGUUGUAUGGGAAGAGCGGAAGACGGUACCAUACGAGGAAGCCCGGAAACUACGUG